UACGGGGGGGGCAAGCGUUGUUCGGAAUUACUGGGCGUAACGGGUUCGUAGGUGGCCAAUUAAGUCAGACGUGAAAUCCCUCAGCUCAACUGGGGAACUGCGUCUGAGACUGGAUGGCUUGAGUGCAGGAGAGGAACGCGGAAUUCCAGGUGUAGCGGUGAAAUGCGUAGAUAUCUGGAGGAACACCGGUGGCGAAGGCGGCGUUCUGGACUGCAACUGACACUGAGGAACGAAAGCCAGGGGAGCAAACGGG
rnacentral:rRNA from 1 species